AAGAAAAAAAAAAAAAAAAAAAAAAACCACCGCAAUCGAAAUAGGUUUUGUAUCUGUGGCCCACAACUUGUGGAUCUCAUUCCAUAGAUAGUG
rnacentral:ribozyme from 12 species